UUUCGCAAUGCCCGAAAGGGUGACGAAGCGACGCCGCGUGUGGGAAGAAGGCCUUCGGGUUGUAAACCACUGUCGGGAGUUAGGAAAUGCAGGUGCGUUAAUAGCGCACUUGCUUGACUAAGGCUCCAGAGGAAGCCACGGCUAACUCUGUGCCAGCAGCCGCGGUAAUACAGAGGCGGCAAGCGUUGUUCGGAAUUAUUGGGCGUAAAGAGCACGUAGGCGGCCUUGCAAGUCAGUUGUGGAAGCCUUCCGCUUAACGGAAGAACGGCAUCUGAUACUACAGGGCUUGAGUACGGGAGGGGAGAGUGGAACUUCUGGUGGAGCGGUGAAAUGCGUAGAUAUCAGAAGGAACGCCGGCGGCGAAAGCGACUCUCUGGUCCGAAACUGACGCUGAGUGUGCGAAAGCUAGGGGAGCAAACGGGAUUAGAUACCCCGGUAGUCCUAGCCGUAAACGAUGGGCACUAAGUAGAGGGGUUUU
rnacentral:rRNA from 1 species